rnacentral:lncRNA from 10 species
AAAAAAAAAAAAAAAAAAAAAUAGGAAUUAUAGUAUCUUACUCCAAACCAUCCCUCUUUCUAUGAUACACAUUCUUUGAUUUGACACAAUCAUAAAGGGAAGCUAUAUGAUCAAAAGCUAAAGUUAUAUCCUAUAACUUAAACAUUUAUAAAUACCUAUUUACCAAACUUAAUUGUUUUUGUAUAUAGUUCUUGGAGGAAUGUUUUCUUUUUCUAAGAAAUGGGGGUCUCCCUUUGUGGGCCCAGGCUGGAGUGCAGUGGCACGAUGAUGGCUCACCUCAAACUCCUAGGCUCAAGAGAUCCUCCCACCUCAGCCACCAUAGUAGCUAGGACCACAGGUGCAUGCCACCACACCUGGCUAAUUUUUUAAUUUUUUUGUAGAGAUGGGGUUUUGCCAUCUUGCCCAGACUGGUCUUUAACUCCUGGCUCAAGUGAUCCUCCCACCUCAGCCUCCCAAAGUGCUGGGAUUACAGGUGUGAGCCACCGCACCUGACCAAGAGAAACAUUUUCUGCAUUCCAGUAUUCUACUCUAACAUACCAGGACUGCAAAAUAAGAGGAGAAAGUACAAUCAAAGCCUCCUAAUGUACUUAACAUUUGAGGGCUUCCAUGUGUAAGGCUCUGAUCUAGGUGCUUUAAAUAUUAUAUAAUUUUUUAAAUUACAGUUGUAUUGUUUUUAAAACAUGUAUUAUGAAAUAUUACAAACAUACAGAAAAAAGGAACAGACAAUACAAUACAGACCCAUUACCCACAUUAAAAAGAUUAAUAAUUUGCCAUAUUUGUCUCAGAUCAUUUGUCUUUUUUUUUUUUUUUGAGAUGAACCACACCUGGCUAAUUUUUUGUAUUUUUAGUAGAGACAGGGUUUCACCACAUUGGCCAGGCUGGUCACAAACUCCUGACCUCAAGUGAUCCACCCACCUCAGCCUCCCAAAGUACUGGGAUUACAGGAGUGAGCCACCGCAACCGGCCUUGUUUGUCUUAACAUUCGUUUUGAGAUUUAUUCAUGUAGCUCUAGUUCACUCAUUUCUCUGCCGUAUGCUAUACUGUUAUAUAAAUUAGUCACAAUAGUUUUUAUCCGUUCUUCUGUAAUGGACAGUUACAGUGCUUCCAGUAUUUCACUAUGACAAAUAACACCUGAAUAAACAUUCUUUUAAUACCUUCUUGGGCACUGUGCAAGCAUUCCUCUAGAGUAUUAACUAGAAUAUUGCUGAGCCUUGGGUUAUAAGCAUUUAAACUUGAGGUAUCUUCCAUGUCCUCCAAAGUAGUUAGUCCCUAUUUAAACCAACCCCGGUGGGGAUUAGCUUCUGGUACUCCAUAUCUCAUCAAGACUUGGCUUUGUCAGAUUUUUUUUUAUUUUUACCAAUCUGAUGAAUAUGAAAUGGGAUCUCUUUUUUUUUCUUUUUAAGAGAUGGGGUCUUGCUCUGUCACCCGGGCUGGAGUGCAGUGGUAUGAUCAUAGCUCACUGCAGCCUUGAAAUCCUGGCCUCAAGGGAUUCUCCUGCCUCAGCCUCCUGAGUAGCUGGGACUGUAGGGAUGUGCCAGCAUGGCUGGGAUCUUGUUUUAAUUUGCAUUUACUUUAUUUCAAGUAGGGUUGAGCACAUAUUCAUAUUUUAAUUAGCCAUCCAGGUUUUUAUUAUGAAUUCCUAUUCAGAUCCUUUGUCCAUUAGUAUUUUUUAAGUUGUGUUGUCCUUUUUCUUAUUGAUUCAUAGGAAUUCUUUAUGAAUUCAGGACAUUAAUCUGUUUAAGAUAUUUGUAUACUGCAAGUAUCUUCUCCCAGAUUGACGCUUGUUAUUUUUAUUGUGAUUUUUUUAAUGAAGUAGUAUUUGUUACCAAAAGUAAAUAUGUCACAUACAUACAUCUGUUAAUUACAUACAUUAUCAAAUUAUAAUGCAUAAUCAUGAAAAUGAAUAGCCACGAGUUCAACUGAAGAACCAAGGAAUACCAAUAUUAUUAAAGCUAAACAUGUACUCCUCCUCGUCUCUCCUGCUUCUCUUAACCACUAUGCUGAAUUUCGUGUUUUGUCACUCCUCUGCUUUUAAAAAGAAUUUUGCCAUCUAUCUCUCUAAAUGAGAUCUUAGUUUUAUUUUUGAGCUUUAUUAAAAUGGUACCAUUCUAUAUACAGUCUUCUGCUAUUAGAUUCUUCCUCUCAACUUUGUUUCUAAAAUUGAUUCACACUGUCACAAGUAGCUGUUCGUUCAAUUAUUUUUACUGCUGCAAAAUAUUCUAUUCCAGAAUGUAACUGUUUUCCUGUGGAUGGACACUGGAUUAUUCCCAGUCUUUUGCUAUUAUGAAAAUGCAAUAAACAUUCUUCUGAAUGUCUCCUGGUUCACAUGUGCAGUUUCUCCAGGGCCUAUGACUAGGGGUAGAAUUGCAGCGCUGUAGGGUGUACACAUGAAUUCUGAAAGAUAAUUCCAAAGUAGCUGUACUGUGUGGCUUGUCUUUUCAUUUCUUUACGUCUUUUGAUAUAUAGAAGGUUUUUUUUCCUUAAAGUAAUAAAAUAAACCAACUUUUUCCUUUAUGAGCUGUAGUUCUUGUUUAAGAAAUCCCUCUUUACUCUGAGGUCAUAAAGAUAUUGCCCUGUAUUUUCUUUAAAAAUUUUUAAAGUUUAAUUUCCCAUCUAGAAUUGACUUUUGCAUAUACUGUAAGGUAGGGAUCCAUUUUUUCCAUAUAGCUAAGUGUGUGUGUGUGUGUGUGUUUGUGUGUGUAUGAUAUAUAUUUAAAUGCAGAUAUUAACACAAAUGCCAGUGUUGUCUUUUGUCUUUAAGCUUUAAAAACUGACAUGUGGAUUAGGCCCUCUCCAAGAAUUUUCAUUCUAAUCAUAAAGGUAAGAAAUUACAAACUCUUUAAUUUAGAGAUGAGGUUUACUCUACCAAAGAUGAAUGUAAAUCUAAGCAGAUCUUACUUGUUCAAAGAUUUCCAUUAUAAAACCAGAGGUCUACUGCCAGAGGAAAAGAACUCCUUCAAGAUACCAGUGCAUUAAAAAAAACUCUUAACGAGUUAUAAAAUAUAGCAAACAACAGGCUCAAACCUGUGAAGGUAAAAGUAUUGCUCUUAUUCCAGAAACUAGAGUCUGCCACUGGAGCUCGCUCGCAUUUUACCACACUUUUUACCACACCAUCUGUACCAGGUGUGCCCUUUCCAAUCUAAGGACUGCCCCCUUCCCAAACCUUUGUUGUUUUCCACACCAGGGUGUCCUCCAACUCCAACCUCGUAAAUCUGUACUCCAGUUUCUCCUUUUUUCUGUCUGGGUAUUUCAAGUGUCAAUGAAAAUUGCUAUCUGGAAUAGCUCUGUUGGUUGUUAACAGUCAUUUCAACUGAAUGUGUUCUAACCUUAUGAUUUUGUGUCAGGGUUUUAGAAGAAAUAAAGCAAUUUAAUUUCCUACUCACUUCUGUAAAUUCAACCCUAAAAAAUUAAACUGACCAAGAUUGGAUGCCUAUGUGUCUAUUACCUUUUAUAUCUGUAAUUAACUUAAAGCUGACUCAUAUUAAUCAGUUACUGGGGCCUAAGGUUAUACAGGACGACAUAACAAUUUAAAACAUUACAAUAUGAUUUAAGCAGCCGAGGAAUGAAGCUAAAGCCUCUACUUUUUUUAGUGAUUCCCAAUGGACUAAAAAGUAAUAGGCUGAGUAGCAAUUACAUAUGUUAGGCUUAACCUAGAGCAGUAAAUUUAUAUUAACCAUUAACGAAUAUCAAUCUUCAGCUUGGUACUAGCUGAAUGGGAUCACUAACAAAAGGUCAAAGUAACACAGUUAAUUAACAUUUGGAAGACUGAGAGGUGGCUUCAUUUUCUUCAAGUUAUGAAAAGAGAUAAUAUGAAGAUGACCUUAAUUUACACUUUCCCAUUUCUACUGUAUAUAGUAUAAAAAGGCAAGAACCUUAACCAUAGCAUCAGGGCCUUAAGUUUAUUCAGAUUUUCAAAAAUGUUUUUAACUAUUAAAUGACAUUUAACUGCAAAUACGAAAAUUGUGAAAUUGCUUUCCUUAUAGAACUAUAGAAAUGGUUCCUCUAAUCAUGACAUGACCCUUGGGUACACAUCAAAGAGCACAAAGCUUGUCUUGGAAUAUAAGGAACAAUUCAAAACACUUAAGCUUUAUCCCCA